UACGGGGGGGGCAAGCGUUGUUCGGAAUUACUGGGCGUAAGGGCUCGUAGGCGGCCAACUAAGUCGGAUGUGAAAUCCCCGGGCUUAACCUGGGAACUGCAUCCGAUACUGGAUGGCUUGAAUCCGGGAGAGGGAUGCAGAAUUCCAGGUGUAGCGGUGAAAUGCGUAGAUAUCUGGAGGAAUACCGGUGGCGAAGGCGGCAUCCUGGACCGGCAUUGACGCUGAUGAGCGAAAGCUAGGGGAGCAAACGGG
rnacentral:rRNA from 1 species